CCCGGACAGCAGUUUACAGAUUUCUCAAUUGAGAGCAGUCUUAUGCUGAUUUUAUCAUCUUGGAUGGAGGAAAAAGACAUAAGGAUAUAUAUUUUAUUAGGAAUUCGAGCAUGAUCUGAAACAGAUGGAAUAUCUUAUACUAGAAAAUCUCAGCCAAGAUUAAAUUUAACAGGAUCAAGUAAAUGGAGGUUCAGAUCUCCAGGAGAAAGAAUCUUGAAGAGGAUUAAACAGAUAAAACUUGCCAACCUGAAAUGACUUAGGUGGAGGACAGCUAAGAAGAGUCUUGAACUUCUGAUGCCUGUAGAUUGCAAAAGAUGAGCUUCAAGCAUUAGGAAAGCAAAAUGAAUUAUAGGACUUGGUAUGGUGAAGAGGCAUUUUCAGGAAUCACCAUACUACAUGACGUUGACAGGAUCGGUAGGCUUAAUAUAUGAAUCAUACUCAGCAGGCGAAAAAUGUGUCAAGCUAAGUGAAUAUCCUUGGCGAGAAAAAUGCAGGUCCGUGAAAGAUAUGUCAAACUAUGAAUCCAAAUUUGGUAUUUGGUGAAUGUUAAGGUGUCAACUGUUACAUCAG
rnacentral:lncRNA from 1 species